rnacentral:rRNA from 1 species
UGGGGAAUUUUGGACAAUGGGCGCAAGCCUGAUCCAGCCAUGCCGCGUGAGUGAAGAAGGCCUUCGGGUUGUAAAGCUCUUUCGGUGAAGACGAAACGGUUAGCGCUAAUAACGCUGACUAAUGACGGUACUCACAGAAGAAGCACCGGCUAACUACGUGCCAGCAGCCGCGGUAAU